AAAGUGUAUCUAGAAAU
rnacentral:rRNA from 1 species